rnacentral:lncRNA from 1 species
AUUCAAUCCACUAAUACUAAAAAUGUGCAUUUAACAUAAAAACAUAUUUAUAUUUAGUGUUUUGAUCUUCGACAUGGUUAAUUUGCGCCAUUUUACAUUGCCAUAGAAACGACUGCCGCCGGUGCGUCACUGUCUGUUGAGUGAAUCGAACAGAGGUGCCGUUAACCGGUCAUGACUGUUGUUGACUAGGCCAACGUUAGACACGGGAUGACAUCUUCAUCCUUGAGGAGACUGUGCAGGAGGCAGAGGUCAACAGAUGUCUGAAACAGCUGUUCUUUGGAUUCAACAUGUUGUCAGGGAUUGCAGGGUGUGUCCUAUUGGUUUUGGCAGUGAUCGCAGCACCAUAUAAUACAGAGCAUGACCAAGGAGAGUCAAUUGGCUUGACAUGGAUUAUAUCGACUGCAGUUGUUUCUGUGCUGCUCUCUUUACUUGGAGCAUAUGGUGCAUACAAAGAGAACAUUGUGAUACUGCGAGUGUUCCUUGGAAUAAUAGGCUUUGGAACAAUCUUCUUUCUUAUUGUUGGAUUUCAAAUGGCUCGUUCAAUGCCUGAGGCCAUGCAACUGAUUAAAGAAAACCUCCCUGCAAUUACAUCAGAAAUGAUGGCUGAUGCGAGCACCGACAAACUAUCAUGGCUCUACAAGUACAAGGUAAGUGUUGUGGAAUAAUGAGUUACAGAGACUGGGAUAGCAAGAUUCCAGAGACCUGUAAAUGUUCUAGUUUCAAGUCAGACCCGUCCCAAUGUAUGGAGGUGCAAACGACUAAAGAUGGCGGCAACUGGGGAAGAUCUGACAAAUCUGAAAUGAUGUGGAUCUACAGAGAGCCCUGUGGUCCUCUCAUCUUGAAGAACUUCGACUCUGCUUUUAAGACCGGACUUGGAUUCUUCUUGGGAUUUGGUGUUUAUUCUUUGAUUGGGCUAGUGUUAUCCGGCAUGAUGAUUCGUCAGAUCAAGAAGGUGCAGUCUACUGAAGUUCCUGAGACUAUAGACGAUGGAUAUCGUUUCACACCUUAAUUCCAGGCAAUUCGCCAUGUGGAGGGAGUUGUGGGAGUUGUGGGAGUUUAACCGACGACCUUACACCCAUAACCAGGGAUGAGGUCAGAGUUUCAGUUUUGGCAUCCUGGCAAGAGGCGAGGAGUAGAAGGUGCUCGAACAACGUGAGACGAGGUGCAACCAAAAAAAAGAAUAUGAGCGUUCGGAAUGAAAAGGCCCAACUCACUGCUCACCGUUCAUUUCAUUUGUGUAUAACCUUUUCUUUUUUAUCAUAAUAAAGUUUCGUCUGUCCAUGGCUUUUCUGGUCAUUCUGAUGGUCCAUUAAAACGGACAAAACGUCAUGAUUUUAACUGAAAAUAGAUUAGUAACGUAUCAAGCUUUUAACUGAGAACGAGAGUCAUGCCUUUUUUUACCUUUAAAUUCAGGCUAGAAGAGUAAGAAGUGUCCUUAGGAUGACCUUAGUAUGACCUUUAGAGUGAGACAUUAUGAAGCACUGUAAUAGGGAAGUUCUGCUCUAGACGCACUGACAAAAACAAUUAAUGGCUGUGUCCCAAAUGGUACCCUCUUCUCUACUACCCCAUAAGGCUCUGGUCACAAAUAGUGCACUACAUAGGGAAUAGGGUGCCGUUUGGGAAGCAAGCCAACGUAAUAAGGAAGCUCUGCUCUAGCCCCACACUGACAAUAUCAUUCCCUCUUCUGUCUUCUGUCAAUAUGGCUUGUAAUCAGCUUUCUGAGAUGAGCUUUAUUGUUUACAUUGUAAAUCAUGUCUUAUUGUACACAGAUAAAUUGCUAGAUUGUAUUUCCAC